rnacentral:lncRNA from 1 species
UUUUUUUUCUUUUAAAGGAAUGUUUUCAUUUUCUCAGUCUGAGGCUAAACUUUAACAGUGGUCUCGCCCUUACUCCCCACAAUCUCUGGCACUCACAGUUCUACUUCCUUUGCGUGACUGCUCUAGUACCUGGUAGAAGCAGAAUCCAGAGCAUUUGUUGUACUUUAUGGCUUUUAAAGUGUUUUAAGCAGUAAUGGGGUAGCUCCCUCAGGUAAUAUAGAAAGACUAAAUAACAUUUGAAUGAGUUUGAUUAAAAAUACUGACAUUGCAAGCCAGGUGGGACAGCUCAUACCCGUAAUCCAAGUGCUAGCGUGUAUGGACUGCCCAGUUUACAUAGUGAGACAAUAAAUAACAAACAAAGCACAGCAAGUAAGAAAAAAGAGAUCUGGCUUCUUUAAAAAAUAGUAAAGUUGGCCUCUGAUAUCUAAAAAAUCAGUUUGUGAGGUAAUUUAUCACAUUGUUUAAAAUACCAGUUGAAUUUAAUGCAAAUCACAUGUACAUAAGCUUAUAAUUUAAAUAAAAUGAGCUAAAUAUAAGCUAGUUUAAAAAUCUUUGAAAUGAAUGUUCUUCCUGAAAAUGGAAUUUCACUGCCUACACUUGUACCAACUGUUUUUUUUUUUCAAGAAUGUUCAUUUAUUUUUUAAAAAUGUAGUCAGUCACACUGUAAAACGUAUUACUUAUGGCCAAGGAUAUGUCUCAGUUGGUAGAGUGUCUGGGAAGCACAAAGCCCUAGGUUUCAUCCUGAACAGCAUGGAAACCCACCGUUAGUGGUGUGCACGUGCAAUCCCAGCACUCUGAAAGUAGAAGCAGGAAGAUGAGAAGUUCAAGGUCAUUCUUGACUGUAUAGAGUUCAAGGCUGGGAUGAGAUAUAUGGCAUACUGUCUCC